ACUGAAUGGAGGACCGAACCGACUUACGUUGAAAAGUGAGCGGAUGAACUGAGGGUAGCGGAGAAAUUCCAAUCGAACCUGGAGAUAGCUGGUUCUCUCCGAAAUAGCUUUAGGGCUAGCCUCAAGUGAUGAUUAUUGGAGGUAGAGCACUGUUUGGACGAGGGGCCCCUCUCGGGUUACCGAAUUCAGACAAACUCCGAAUGCCAAUUAAUUUAACUUGGGAGUCAGAACAUGGGUGAUAAGGUCCGUGUUCGAAAGGGAAACAGCCCAGACCACCAGCUAAGGUCCCAAAAUAUAUGUUAAGUGGAAAAGGAUGUGGCGUUGCCCAGACAACUAGGAUGUUGGCUUAGAAGCAGCCAUCAUUUAAAGAGUGCGUAAUAGCUCACUAGUCGAGUGACACUGCGCCGAAAAUGUACCGGGGCUAAACAUAUUACCGAAGCUGUGGAUUGUCCUUUGGACAAUGGUAGGAGAGCGUUCUAAGGGCGUUGAAGCAUGAUCGUAAGGACAUGUGGAGCGCUUAGAAGUGAGAAUGCCGGUGUGAGUAGCGAAAGACGGGUGAGAAUCCCGUCCACCGAUUGACUAAGGUUUCCAGAGGAAGGCUCGUCCGCUCUGGGUUAGUCGGGUCCUAAGCUGAGGCCGACAGGCGUAGGCGAUGGAUAACAGGUUGAUAUUCCUGUACCACCUAUAAUCGUUUUAAUCGAUGGGGGGACGCAGUAGGAUAGGCGAAGCGUGCGAUUGGAUUGCACGUCUAAGCAGUAAGGCUGAGUAUUAGGCAAAUCCGGUACUCGUUAAGGCUGAGCUGUGAUGGGGAGAAGACAUUGUGUCUUCGAGUCGUUGAUUUCACACUGCCGAGAAAAGCCUCUAGAUAGAAAAUAGGUGCCCGUACCGCAAACCGACACAGGUAGUCAAGAUGAGAAUUCUAAGGUGAGCGAGCGAACUCUCGUUAAGGAACUCGGCAAAAUGACCCCGUAACUUCGGGAGAAGGGGUGCUCUUUAGGGUUAACGCCCAGAAGAGCCGCAGUGAAUAGGCCCAAGCGACUGUUUAUCAAAAACACAGGUCUCUGCUAAACCGUAAGGUGAUGUAUAGGGGCUGACGCCUGCCCGGUGCUGGAAGGUUAAGAGGAGUGGUUAGCUUCUGCGAAGCUACGAAUCGAAGCCCCAGUAAACGGCGGCCGUAACUAUAACGGUCCUAAGGUAGCGAAAUUCCUUGUCGGGUAAGUUCCGACCCGCACGAAAGGCGUAACGAUUUGGGCACUGUCUCAACGAGAGACUCGGUGAAAUCAUAGUACCUGUGAAGAUGCAGGUUACCCGCGACAGGACGGAAAGACCCCGUGGAGCUUUACUGUAGCCUGAUAUUGAAAUUCGGCACAGCUUGUACAGGAUAGGUAGGAGCCUUUGAAACGUGAGCGCUAGCUUACGUGGAGGCGCUGGUGGGAUACUACCCUAGCUG
rnacentral:rRNA from 1 species